UACGUAGGGGCCAAGCGUUGUCCGGAUUUAUUGGGCGUAAAGAGCUCGUAGGCGGUUCGGCAAGUCAGCUGUGAAAUCUCCACGCUCAACGUGGAGGGGUCAGCUGAUACUGCUGUGACUUGAGCCCGGUAGGGGAGUGUGGAAUUCCCGGUGUAGCGGUGAAAUGCGCAGAUAUCGGGAGGAACACCAGUAGCGAAGGCGGCACUCUGGGCCGGUACUGGACGCUGAGACGCGAAAAGCGUGGGGGAGCAAACAGG
rnacentral:rRNA from 1 species